AGCGAACGCUGGCGGCAGGCUUAACACAUGCAAGUCGAACGGAUCCUUCGGGAUCAGUGGCAGACGGGUGAGUAACACGUGGGAACGUGCCUUUUGGUUCGGAACAACGUCAGGGAAACUUGAGCUAAUACCGGAUGUGCCCUUGGGGAAAGAUUUAUCGCCAUUAGAGCGCCGCGUCUGAUUAGCUAGUUGGUGAGGUAAAGGCUCA
rnacentral:rRNA from 1 species